rnacentral:rRNA from 1 species
CCCGCUGAACUUAAGCAUAUCAAUAAGCGGAGGAAAAGAAACUAACAAGGAUUCCCCUAGUAACUGCGAGUGAACCGGGAAAAGCUCAAAUUUUGAAUCUGGCAGUCCUUGAGGCUGUCCGAGUUGUAAUCUAGAGAAGUGUUUUCCGCGCUGGACCGUGUAUAAGUUUCCUGGAAAGGAACGUCAUAGAGGGUGAAAAUCCCGUCUUUGACACGGACUCCCAGGGCUAUGUGAUGCGCUCUCGACGAGUCGAGUUGUUUGGGAAUGCAGCUCAAAUAGGGUGGUAAAUUCCAUCUAAAGCUAAAUACAGGCGAGAGACCGAUAGCGAACAAGUACCGUGAGGGAAAGAUGAAAAGAACUUUGGAAAGAGAGUUAAACAGUACGUGAAAUUGCUGAAAGGGAAACGCUUGAUGUCAGUCGCGUCGGCCGGGGAUCAGUCUGGCUUUAACUAGCUAGGCGUACUUCCUGGUCGACGGGUCAGCAUCAGUUUUGACCGUCGGAAAAGGGCUUGAGGAAUGUGGCACUCUCUUUACCGGGGGUGUGUUAUAGACUCUUGUCUUGAAUACGAUGGUUGGGACUGAGGAAACCGCAGCACGGCCUAUAUGGUUUUCGGGGCUUAGGCUCACGUUUAGCGUGCUUAGGAUGCUGGCAUAAUGGCCUUAAGCGACCCGUCUUGAAACACCGG